CAUCUAUCCAACCAUCCAUCUAUCCAACUAUCAUGUCAUCCAAGUAUACAGUCAUCCAACUAUCCAACCACCCAUCUAUCCAACUAUCCAGUCAUCCAACUAUCCAGUCACCCAACAAUCCGACCAUCCAGCUAUCCGACCAUCCAUCUAUCCAGUCAUAAAACUAUCCAACAAUCCAUCUAUCCAACUAUCCAACUAUCCAGUCAUCCUACUAUCCAACAUCCAUCUCUCCAACCACCCAUCUAUCCAACUAUCCAGUCACCCAACUAUCCGACCAUCCAUCUAUCCGACCAUCCAUCUAUCCAGUCAUCAAACUAUUCAACAAUCCAUCUAUCCAACUAUCCAACCACCCAUCUAUCCAACUAUCCAUUCAUCCUACUAUCCAACCAUCCAUCUAUCCAACUACCCAGUCAUCCAACUAUCC